rnacentral:rRNA from 1 species
UCAAACCUACGGGGGGCAGCAGUGGGGGAUAUUGCACAAUGGGGGGAACACUGAUGCAGCGACGCCGCGUGAAGGAAGAAGUAUCUCGGUAUGUAAACUUCUAUCAGCAGGGAAGAAAAUGACGGUACCUGACUAAGAAGCCCCGGCUAACUACGUGCCAGCAGCCGCGGUAAUACGUAGGGGGCAAGCGUUAUCCGGAUUUACUGGGUGUAAAGGGAGCGUAGGCGGCAGUGCAAGUCAGCAGUGAACGCCCGGGGCUC